UCGGGAAUUUUGGGCAAUGGGGGAAACCCUGACCCAGCAACGCCGCGUGAAGGAUGAAGUAUUUCGGUAUGUAAACUUCGAAAGAAUAGGAAGAAUAAAUGACGGUACUAUUUAUAAGGUCCGGCUAACUACGUGCCAGCAGCCGCGGUAAUACGUAGGGACCAAGCGUUGUUCGGAUUUACUGGGCGUAAAGGGCGCGUAGGCGGCAUGACAAGUCACUUGUGAAAUCUCUGGGCUUAACCCAGAACGGCCAAGUGAUACUGUCGCGCUAGAGUGCAGAAGGGGCAAUCGGAAUUCUUGGUGUAGCGGUGAAAUGCGUAGAUAUCAAGAGGAACACCUGAGGUGAAGACGGGUUGCUGGGCUGACACUGACGCUGAGGC
rnacentral:rRNA from 1 species